rnacentral:lncRNA from 10 species
CAGCGACAGGCCAGUCCUAGCAUCGUUAUUGCCCUGGCAGGGAACAAAGCUGACCUGGCCAACAAACGUAUGGUGGAGUAUGAAGAGGCCCAGGCAUAUGCAGAUGACAACAGCUUAUUGUUCAUGGAGACUUCAGCCAAGACAGCUAUGAACGUGAAUGAUCUCUUCCUGGCAAUAGGUAAGGUCAGAACAUCCUGAGGUCCUCCUUUUUCCCUCGUUUAUAGGCAAAAUUAUAGCUAACCCAAAUCAAGGAUAGGUGCGAGUAUCUCCUUUUGCAAAAACUUUAGGUAUGGAAAUACCUUAACUUUCUGUUAUGACCUCCAUCCUUGGCUGCAGCUUUAGCUCCCUUGUCUUCAAUGUGUAAGUUUGCCGGCCAGGUGUGGUGGCUAACACCUGUAAUCCCAGCAUUUUGGGAGGCCGAGGCGGGCGGAUCACGAGGUCAAGAGAUCAAGACCAUCCUGGCCAAUGUGGUGAAACCCCGUCUCUACUAAAAAUACAAAAAUUAGCUGGGCGUGGUGGCGCACACCUGUAGUCCCAGCUACUUGGGAGGCUGAGCCAGGAUAAUCACUUGAACCCGGGAGGUGGAGGUUGCAGUGAGCCGAGAUUGUGCCACUGCACUCCAUCCUGGCAACAGAGCGAGACUCCAUCUCAAAAAAAAAAAAAAA